ensembl:lncRNA
GUGGUAACUGAGGUCCAUUAACUGAAUUUAGUGAUCCUUUAUGUAAUUUAAAUUUGCACAAUUACACCCAGCGUUGCAGCAUUUCCCCUGGCUGAAACAUUUGCCAUUCAAGCCCAUCACUCCACACUGCAGGAGCCCUUGGUACAGACUGAUGUGGAAUGGAUGAGGAGCCAUUAGCAGUAGCUGAGGAGUCAGGUGCAACUGAAGAGAAGUAAGGAGCCCAUGUAAGAACAAAGAACAGGGGAUGUGUUGAUGCUGAAAUUUUGUGAGCGUCCAUGGGUUUCCAACUCUGUCUAUUGUACAAGAGCUGCUAUUCAGAAGUAGAAGUUGGUCCUCCAUGGAGUACCAAGCCUAGCAGGGCAGCAAGGAUGGAAGUGGGACUAGUGCUAUGGGCUGAAGGAAAAUGUGCAGAAAAUGACUGUGCCCAAAGCUGAGACAGGUAGCCUCUGAGUGCUUUCAACCUUGGUUUGCUUACAGUGUUUUAAAUGGAAAGCUUGUGAGUGGAGCUCCUUGGUUGUCAUGGGAAGUGAUAAGGACAGUUUCUUGGUCUAAGCUUUGUUAGUCCAUGCCAACAGCUCAGCCUUCAAGCAGACACACUGCUGUGAAGUUGCAGCCACAGCUGCAUAUCUUCACAGCUUCACUGAUCUUCACUGCUCCACAGCUGCCUAUCUGUAACAGUAUAAUCUACCCUACCUGGCCACACACACCUCACACCUUCAGUCUUCUCCAAAGCCGCCAAUGAGCUGAGUAGAGUCUAGAUGCUGUAGCAUCUAAUGAACAUCGCCAUUAACUGUAAUGGCAGGGCAACCCUGUAGAAACAUAAAUCUCUGAGACUCUCUGAAAUUCUACACUGCAGACCCUAUACUGCCAUUGGCUCCACCAUAGAAGCUCAAGGAUACGUCAUCAUGUUAGAAGAAAGUAAGGAAACUACAAAGACAGCCAAAGGGAAGAGUGAAGGCAGCAGCUCUGAAGAAGAAUAAGAAGGCUCCUGGACAAACUGAACCGCUGCCCAACAGCAGAGGACCUGUGAUCCGUGAACUCCUGGACUAGAGGGACGUGUACUUCCUGAGCAAGUACGCGCUGUUCCGUAUUAGGGGAAUAAACUUCUUGACAACAUGAGGAAAAAAAAAUUAAUUCAACAGCUGAAUUCUCCUUGCAUUUACUGAUUGAUCUGGCAUGCAACCAAGAAAAGUGUGUACAAAAAGAGGUCCUUUCUUUCUCUGAUUUCCCUCAAAUAUAAAACUGUACUUCUAAGUUUCAAGACAGGACUGUGGAUAAAAUACAUCAGGUUACUAAGAGGCAAACUGUAGGCUUACUAUGAAUGUAAAUUAACUGUAGAACACUCUGUUGAGACAUCUUGUAGAUAUUCUCUGUAGUUUAAUAAGUAUUUUUGCUUCCUCAAAUGUGUGACUUUGUAUGAAAAUUAGAAGUGUGAAGAAUAUAGAAUAUAUUUAUUUGUAGCAUUCAGUCAGAGAUAGUAACAAAGUGAAGAAAACUACAUUUGCUUGUCUGCUUUUCUCUGAGUUAUCUUCAGUAGUGCAUCACAGCAAUAUGCCAUAAAAUAUUUGGACCAAUUAAUCUGUUGAAAUUCAUCAUGAGCUACUGAAUACCCAGACAUCGUGUCCUGCUCAGGGGUUCCAUAAAUACAUAUUGCCAGCAACUGGGUGAGUUUUGAUGAAAUGUCACUCUACAUUGCCUUAGGCAACCUGUCUCUCCUUCCUGAGCAUCACUUUCAAAGACAGAAAGUUGUGCCAUGGGGACCUUUGAUAUCAAAAGUGCAGCUCAUUCUAUGUUGCCUGCAGGGAGUAAUAUCACGCUCCCUCUCUCCUUUCCUUUCCUUCCCCUUCCUUCCUCCUCCCUGAUUCCUGCUACUUGCUAUUUCCAUUACUUUUUUGAUCCAGUGGUCUCCCAGCCUGCACACCCCACUCACCUGCUCUGUAACAGGAGCCCCUCAGCUGCUUUGCUGAAUUAUGGAAAGGGCAUCUUGAAUGUCAUCUUGUUGGCCUGAACAUGCUGCCCAGAUCUCUUCCACUGCUGUUAGCGCUGCAGACAGGAGUCUCAGUAAUGGUGCACCUGUGGUGUGCAUCUGAAAUCUGCCCAUUUUGUGAUCAUAGAUUAUGGGGUUUGUUUGCCUCUCGUGUUCAGUUAACUCAUUCUAGGAACUUCCAAGGGUACCACUCGGUAGGAAGCUACUUCACAGCACAUCUGUCACCAGUACUCCUCCUAGGACAUUCAGUGAAGGUAAAUCAUAACUGCAUUCCGAGCUGUAGAAAUUAGUUUCUGAAUGGAGCACAAGGGACAAGGCGUAGCAAGACCAUCACAAUUCUUUCAUAACCAGCCUGUGACUUGAGCUUGUCUUCACAAGUGCUCACAGAUAAACCAAGGAAGUUUUGAUUGCAUUCACCAUAGCAAAGAAUGUGUGACUCACAAUGAUUUUCAACCAGUGGGUUUUAAGUCUCAUUCAUUACGAUCCUAAGUAAUUCUUCCUGGGAAAGCAGUUAUUGCUUCUAGCAGUUCUCUCACCUCAUUCUUCAGGCACACUUACUGGUAGUGUUAGUUUAAUGGCAAAUUUCCCAACUAGAUGAUGCAUCAAAAACAUGGAGUAAACACAUUCUGCAGGGAACACUGAGAGCAUGCACCUUAGCACAUCUAAACUGAACUGAUAAAUGCCCUUUUGAUAUGGAAAAUGUUUUCUUACCAUCUCCAGGGUCUAGUCACAUCCUAUCAGAAGCGUAGGGAUGAAAGGUUUUGUCACAGAGUAGCAUUCUGACAUUUCUACUUGUCCAAUGCUUACAUUCCUGUGAGCUCUCCUAUUACGCUGAGAGCAGCAGAAAUGUUGCUACCGCAGAGGUGGGGCAUUCUCUGUCAGUGGCAAGCAGGAGCUACAGAGCAAACUGAUGUCUAGACAGACCCUACAAUAACAGCAGCAUGGCCAACAGCAGUGGUUGCAUGCUGGAAAUCUUGAAAAGAUUUAUUUAUUUUUUUUAUAGUAGUGAGGAAGUCAGGGAACUUCACCCAUUCAGGAGCACAGACUUCUUGCUCUCUGGUUGUUCCAUGGGUCCUGCUAUAGCCAGAUUCCUCCUUGAGGAAGUGACUCAGUCAUCAGCGCUGAAGGCAUUAGCUGGAGCAGCCAGUGAGGGCUGCCAGCAGGGCGUCAGCAGGUGGGGGCUGCAGAGGUAAGGAAAGAAGGCCUGGAGAGAUUGGUGGAGGAAGUGGUACGUAGCUCAAGGAGCUCCUGGGAAAGGAGCAGCUAAUGAGAAUGAUCAGAGAUGCAUCAAGCAUGUAGAGCCUGACAAUUUCUCCUUUCUCCUCUCACUCAAUCCUCAAAGAUGAACCACAAGAUUGACCUAUAUGUGCUUUACCCACACAGCCCACUGCAUACACAGCAACCUCUACACAGCAUAGAACAGUAAUGCAGAAACUUCAGGGCUAGGCUGCAAAGGAUUGCUCUCCUCAUCUAAGCUUCUUGCUAAAUUCAAAUAAUGCCUUUGCCAUCCAGUGGGACAUGGGCACAGAGGGUGGCAGGAAGGCCAGAAGAGAAGAGGUGCAGAGUGUGUUCUUAGCACCUCCUGCUAGGUAGUACUGCACUCAAGAUGUAGAUGCCUAUUCUCUUCAAUACAGGUAAGAGCACAAGAGACCUCCACACUGUUCUCAAAGAUUUUUCACCUCUGAAAGAUUUCGCCUCCUACAGUCAUUCAGGUUAGGAAACACCUCCAGAAGUUGUCUCGUGAUAAAAGUAAGCAUAAAGCCACCUACGGCUAGAGCUAGCUACCCAGGAAAAUGGUGAACAUGAGACUGGAGGGAUCUAAGUACAUUUGUCUCUAUGGGAACUAGAGCCAUAACUUGGGAACAGUGCUGGUGUAGGUCUAGUGUGCCUGCCUGCUCAGCGGACAAGCUUCAAGGUGGGGCUGUGGACAGUGCAUCCAACCAGAAUACAUCCUUACCUGAUGGUAAGGGACCAAGAUCUCAGAGGCAUGUAAAGGAUGCUGAGCAUGCACAUCCCUCCUUAGCUGAGAAGAGCGCUGCACACAGACCUCUCACUUCCUGGGCAAAUGCUCUGUGAAUGGGACUCUUGGACAGAUGGCAGUUAAUGUUGGGAUCUCUGCCCUAGUGAUGCCACAUUUAUAAUACCGUGUCCAGUUCUGGUCUUCCCAGUUCAAAAAAGACAGGGAUCUUUUGGAAGGAGUCCAGUGGAGCGCCACAAAGAUGAUACAGGGCCUGGAGCAUCUCCCAUAUGAGAGAAGCCUGGGUCUGUUCAGCCUGGAGAAAUGGAGGCUGAGGGGAGAUCUGAUAAGUGUUUAUAAAUAUCUAAAUGGAGGAGGGAGGCAAAUGGAUGAGGUCAGGAUCUUCUUGGUGGUGUGUGGACAAGGAGCAAUGGCCCAAAACUUGAACAUAGGAAGUUCCAAACAAAUAUGCAAAAGAACUUCUUCACAGUAAGGGUGACAGAGCACUGUAACAGGUUGCCCAGAGAUGUUGUGAAAUCUCCUUCUAUGGAGAUAUUCAAGACUGUCUGGAUGCUGACCUGUGUGACCUGUUUUAGGGAACCUACUUUAACAGAGAGGUUGGACUUGGUAUCUCUCAAGGUCCCUUCCAAUCCCUGCAAUUCGGUGAUUCUGUGAAUACCUUAUUUUGUUUUGCUUGCUUUUUCUUUAUCUGUUAAGGUAUCUUCACCUCAGCUCACAAAUAUUCUCAUUUUUACUUUUUCAAUUCUCUCCCAUUGAGAUAGUGAGCAAGCAGUUGUAUAGCACUUAGCUGUCUACCACAGCUAAACUGCAAUUGCAAGGCAGCAGUGGGGCUGCAAAUUGCUAUGGGCAGUGACAGUUUAAGGGAUGGAAAGGCAUCUAUGCAAUCCCCUGUGAGGAACUGUAGGGCAGUUGGGUGGCAUCUUGCCCAUGGCAUAGUUGCUUUUAUUCUGUUGAUCUCUUCAGCCUUCCUUCCUGGAUUUGUUCCUGUGGUAGAAUAUAGGAGCCAGUAGAGGCUGCUGAGGGAGCUUGUGGACUGCUGUCCCUUGAAAUUGCAGAUACUGAGAUGAGAAAGCAUUUAUCCCGCUGUGUGGAACUGUGACGGUUUGGGUAUAGCACUGCAGAAGAUGGAAGCUCACUGUACUGUUGCUAUACAAAGUUUGCAUGUCUUUACUCUCACAGAGAGUCAUAAAGUCAUAGAAUCAUAGAACAGUUUUGACUAAAUGGGACCCUAAAUAUCUUUUUGUUCCAACUCCCUUGCCAUGAACUGGUCACCCCCCACCAGCUCAAGCUGCCCAAAGCCCUACCCAGCCUGGCCACGCUCAUCUCCAGGGAUGGGGCACCCACAUUUCUCUGGGCAGCAGUGCCAGUGAAACGUCACUCUCUCAGUAAAGAAUUUCCUCCUAACAUCUAACCUAAAUCUCCCCUCUUUUG